rnacentral:rRNA from 1 species
ACAAUGGGGGCAACCCUGAUCCAGCCAUGUCCGCGUGAGUGAAGAAGGCCUUCGGGUUGUAAAGCUCUUUCGCAAGGGAAGAAAACUUAUGAUCGAAUAAAUCAUGAGGUUGACGGUACCUUGAUAAGAAGCACCGGCUAACUACGUGCCAGCAGCCGCGGUAAUACGUAGGGUGCGAGCGUUAAUCGGAAUUACUGGGCGUAAAGCGUGCGCAGGCGGUUUUGUAAGUCGGAUGUGAAAUCCCCGGGCUCAACCUGGGAACUGCGUUCGAAACUGCAAGGCUAGAGUGUGUCAGAGGGGGGUAGAAUUCCACGUGUAGCAGUGAAAUGCGUAGAGAUGUGGAGGAAUACCAAUGGCGAAGGCAGCCCCCUGGGAUGACACUGACGCUCAUGCACGAAAGCGUGGGGAGCAAACAGGAUUA